rnacentral:rRNA from 1 species
UACAGAGGUGGCAAGCGUUGUUCGGAAUUACUGGGCGUAAAGGGCGCGUAGGCGGUCCGGUAAGUCCUGUGUGAAAUCCCUCGGCUCAACUGAGGAACUGCACGGGAGACUGCCGGGCUUGAGUUCGGGAGAGGAAAGCGGAAUUCCGGGUGUAGCGGUGAAAUGCGUAGAUAUCCGGAGGAACACCGGUGGCGAAGGCGGCUUCCUGGACCGACACUGACGCUGAGGCGCGAAAGCUAGGGGAGCAAACGGG